AUUUGUUAUGUAGACUAAAGCAAAGUCUCACAAGAAGGCUGAUGCUAAAGGCCACCACUGAGGACAAGGAUGUGUCCUGCUGUGGUUCCUGUUGAUGGGUGUCCUCGAAUCUUAAUUGGCUUAAAUUUUUGUUAUUGUGAAUCUCUCUGCAAUCUGGUUCAUGGUUUUCUUAGUCACUGAGACCACAAUGUAUCAGAAAAGGGAAUAUCCUUUCGAUUUUUGUUUGCAAUAAUCCAUCUCUAGCUGUGUCGGGUAAAAUUUAACUUCCCUUUAUUUCACAUUAAAUAAGCAAAUGCAAAAUCAGCUUGCUAACCACAGUCUGCUACUAGUUUUGGUUUGCGUGCUACAUGCUUCUACUUCAUGUUAAACAUCUGGCAACAGCUCUCUUCCUGG
rnacentral:lncRNA from 1 species